rnacentral:rRNA from 1 species
UCAGGUGAACAAUCUGGUCGUUUGACGGUACCCGACGAAUAAGCUCCGGCUAACUCCGUGCCAGCAGCCGCGGUAACACGGGGGGAGCAAGCGUUGUUCGGAAUCACUGGGCGUAAAGGGCGUGUAGGCGGUUGAGUAAGUCGGAAUGUCGAAAUGCCCCGGCUCACCCGGGGACCGGCAUUCCAAACUGCUCAGCUCGAGUAUGGGAGAGGAUGAGGGAAUUCCUGGUGUAGCGGUGAAAUGCGUAGAUAUCAGGAGGAACACCGGUGGCGAAAGCGCUCAUCUGGCCCAAUACUGACGCUGAGGCGCGAAAGCUAGGGGAGCAAACGGGAUUAGAUACCCCGGUAGUCCUAGCCGUAAACGGUGAUCACUAGGUGUUGGAGGCAUCGACCCCUCCAGUGCCGCAGCUAACGCAUUAAGUGAUCCGCCUGGGGAGUACGGCCGCAAGGUUG